rnacentral:rRNA from 1 species
GACGAACGCUGGCGGCGUGCUUAACACAUGCAAGUCGAACGGAAAGGCCCCUUUGGGGGUACUCGAGUGGCGCACGGGUGAGUAACACGUGAGUAACCUGCCCUUGACUUCGGGAUAACUUCAGGAAACUGGGGCUAAUACCGGAUAGGAAUCCUUGCUGCAUGGUGGGGGUUGGAAAGCUUCGGCGGUUUUGGAUGGACUCGCGGCUUAUCAGCUUGUUGGUGGGGUAGUGGCUUACCAAGGCUUUGACGGGUAGCCGGCCUGAGAGGGCGACCGGCCACAUUGGGACUGAGAUACGGCCCAGACUCCUACGGGAGGCAGCAGUGGGGAAUAUUGCACAAUGGGCGGAAGCCUGAUGCAGCAACGCCGCGUGCGGGAUGACGGCCUUCGGGUUGUAAACCGCUUUCAGCAGGGGCGAAGCUUGUGGUGACGGUACCUGCAGAAGAAGCACCGGCUAACUACGUA